AUGCCCACCACGAUUGGAAAACUUACCAAACUCUUGAGUUUGAAUCUUGAAAAUAAUGAACUCCAAGCACACAACAGAGAAGAUUGGGAGUUUUUGAAUAGCUUAGGCAACUGCACGGAGCUACAAAUGUUUUCCAUGGGUUAUAAUCAUCUAUCAGGGCAUGUACCGAGUUCAUUAGGUAACCUUUCAAGUCAACUCCAGGAAUUAUACUUGACAAACAAUCAACUAUCAGGAGAUUUUCCAUCUGGCAUAGCAAACCUUCACAACCUGAUUUUUGUAGCAUUGGGACGAAAUAACUUUACAGGUGUGGUUCCUAUGUGGAUUGGAACUCUCAAAGCUAUGCAGGUUCCAAUGGAUAUCUUUAGAAUCCCAACAAUAGUUGGAAUUGAUUUAUCAUUCAAUAGCCUUGAUGGGCAACUUCCUACCGACAUUGGAAAUGCCAAACAACUCGUGAGAUUGAGAGUUUCAUAA
rnacentral:rRNA from 1 species